rnacentral:rRNA from 1 species
GACGAACGCUGGCGGCGCGCUUAACACAUGCAAGUCGAGCGAGAACCAGGGCUUCGGCCCUGGGGACAGCGGCGAACGGGUGAGUAACACGUGAGUAAUCUGCCCUCGGCACCGGGAUAGCCCGGGGAAACCCGGAUUAAUACCGGAUAGCCUCCGAAGCCUUCGGGCGUCGGAGCAAAGGUAGCUUCGGCCUCUGGCCGAGGAUGAGCUCGCGGCGGAUUAGCUUGUUGGUGGGGUAAUGGCCUACCAAGGCUCCGAUCCGUAGCUGGUCUGAGAGGACGAUCAGCCACACUGGGACUGAGACACGGCCCAGACUCCUACGGGAGGCAGCAGUGGGGAAUCUUGCCCAAUGGGCGAAAGCCUGAGGCAGCGACGCCGCGUGCGGGAAGAAGGCCCUCGAGUUGUAAACCGCUUUCAGGAGGGACGAAGCUACUCGGGUUAAUAGCCCAGAGGGUGACGGUACCUCCAGAAGAAGCCCCGGCUAACUACGUGCCAGCAGCCGCGGUAAGAC